rnacentral:rRNA from 1 species
GACGAACGCUGGCGGCGUGCUUAACACAUGCAAGUCGAACGCUGAAGCUCAGCUUGCUGGGUGGAUGAGUGGCGAACGGGUGAGUAACACGUGAGUAACCUGCCCUCUUCUUUGGGAUAACGCCCGGAAACGGGUGCUAAUACGGGAUAUUCACUGAUUCUCGCAUGGGGGUGGGUGGAAAGGUUUUUUUUGGUGGGGGAUGGGCUCGCGGCCUAUCAGCUUGUUGGUGGGGUGAUGGCCUACCAAGGCUUUGACGGGUAGCCGGCCUGAGAGGGUGACCGGUCACAUUGGGACUGAGAUACGGCCCAGACUCCUACGGGAGGCAGCAGUGGGGAAUAUUGCACAAUGGGCGAAAGCCUGAUGCAGCGACGCCGCGUGAGGGAUGGAGGCCUUCGGGUUGUAAACCUCUUUCGCUCAUGGUCAAGCCGCAGCUUUGGGUUGUGGUGAGGGUAGUGGGUAAAGAAGCGCCGGCUAACUACGUG